GAUGAACGCUGGCGGCGUGCCUAAUACAUGCAAGUCGAGCGGACGGACGAGAAGCUUUCUUCUCUGCUGUUAGCGGCGGACGGGCGAGUAAGACGUGGAUAACCUACCUAUAAGACUGGGAUAACUUCGGGAAACCGGAGAUACUACCGGAUAAUAUUUUGAACGGCAUGAUUCAAAAGUGAAAGACGGUUUUCCUGUCACUUAUAGAUGGUGCCGCGCUGCAUUAGCUAGUUGGUAAGGUAACGGCUUACCAAGGCAACGAUGCAUAGCCGACCUGAGAGGGUGAUCGGCCACACUGGAACUGAGACACGGUCCAGACUCCUACGGGAGGCAGCAGUGGGGAAUCUUCCGCAAUGGGCGAAAGCCUGACGGAGCAACGCCGCGUGAGUGAUGAAGGUCUUCGGAUCGUAAAACUCUGUUAUUAGGAAAGAAAAGAUGUGUAAGUAACUGUGCACAUCUUGACGGUACCUAAUCAGAGAGCCACGGCUAACUACGUG
rnacentral:rRNA from 1 species